rnacentral:tRNA from 1 species
UGGCACAGUUGGUAGAGCAUGGUGUUUGCAACGCCAGGGUUGUGGGUUCAAUUCCCAC